rnacentral:rRNA from 1 species
UACGGAGGGUGCAAGCGUUGUUCGGAAUUAUUGGGCGUAAAGAGCGUGUAGGCGGCUGAAUAAGUCAGAUGUGAAAUCCCUGGGCUUAACCCAGGAAGUGCAUUUGAAACUGAAAGACUUGAGUAUUGGAGAGGCAAGUGGAAUUCCUGGUGUAGAGGUGAAAUUCGUAGAUAUCAGGAGGAACACCGGUGGCGAAGGCGACUUUCUGGCCCUAUACUGACGCUGAGACGCGAGAGCGUGGGUAGCAAACAGG